rnacentral:lncRNA from 1 species
GAAAAAUUUUAGAAUCACUAAUUAUAUUAGUGACAUAGUGUCCCCAACCAAUUAAAUAAUUUUUUUAGUUUAUUUGUUCCAUCAUGAGUAUAAAAAAAUAUUUUUGUUAUACUUUUUUGUUAAAUGAAGAGAUUUAGUUGGCUUGUUAUUAAUGAUGUAGUGCAAGUGUGACACAUAAACUUUCUCGUGAAGUAGCUCCACCCUCACAUAUGGAUUUUUUUUUAUUUAUAUAACGAUCAAACCUGCUAGCGAUAAUAACUCGUUUGUUGGAUUCAAACUAUUAGCCCAAAAUACUUAAGUUCAAUUAUUACUAAUAGGGUGCGUGACGAUGUAAGAAUAUUAAGGUGUUGUUGUUUAUUUAGAUGGUGUUUGGUUCCUUAAAAAUCAUAAAAAUAUAUUUUUUAGAAAAAAAAAUUUGGAAAAGCAUCAUGAAU